CCGAAGAAUCAAGCGCAAAGAAACCGUAGAGAACUUUUGUAAAAACAAACAGGUUUAAGAAUCAACAAUUUUAUUUAUCACACAACAGUACAUGAUAAAUAGAGAUUUAAUCGACGUAAAAUUUUCCUAGAACGAAGCAUUACCUCAAGAUAAAUAAUUAGCUGCUACCUUUUUUUUUAUAAAUAUAAUACACUUGUAAAGUUAAUCCAAUAAACGAUGCCUAUUAUUGGAUGCACCAAAGAGAACAAUUGCAAAAGAGAUGCGUUUCUAAAAGCUAGGCAGCUCGAGGCCGAACGCACUACAGGAAACCCACAUAAACAAGGGGAGAAUACCGAGUCGAAAGAGAUUCGAGAAACGACAGUUUCAUCAGACGUCGACGCGGCCCCAGAUUUGCUCGAAAAUCCCGACGACGUAACGCGUCACGCAUCCGGAAAUAAAUAUCUGGACGAGCGAGCAGCCGCUCUCGAGGAACCGGUCGCAGUUGCGCAAAAGGAGCCUGUAGAAAUCUCGCAAGCUACGGAGACAGUCCCCGAGACGCUUGUCCAGACGCGACCAUCUGAUGUCCGUUGACGGUCAAGAAACGAGAGCCGAGAGCCAACGUGCGCCUCGGGAAAUUCCAGAUACGGAGUUUCGUGAGUGUCAAGACGUGAACUCUCGAAACUUGCGAGCUAAAGCUCCCGGACAAGAAGCCGAAACGAAAAUUAACGCUAAUUCGGUAUUCCCUCCGCUUCGAUAGCCCGCGGCGACCAAACGACGACGUAUUGUUUUAUUUCUUCCGCGUCCCUAAUUACAUCCUCGUCCGAAGCCGAUUCGAUGUUCGUGAAGCCGAUUCCAGCUGGUUCGGAACUCUCGAAAAAACAAGUGGAUACGAAAGAAAUACCUCUCCACUUAGCGACGGAUUACGGGGGAGAGAGCGACGAUUCGCAAGGGUAAAUUUGCCAACUACCCAAGUAAUUAAGAGCAUCCCAAUUGGGAGUUCUGGGUCAUUGCCCCGCCCUAAAGCAAAGCGAGAGAAAGACAAGAAAGAAACGAAGGGAGACGCACGAAGGUCGCUAGCCGAAGUCGUCCUGAACAAACCUUUCGCAGUCUUCCACACCAUUAUAUCGUAACGCGACGAUAGGCUAAGUCGGCGACGCGAUUUUGUACGACGCGAUACUAUCGAGCAGCGAUUCGUCACGCGGGUAUAAAGAAUCCCGAUUGUUUCAAUC
rnacentral:lncRNA from 13 species